rnacentral:rRNA from 1 species
AAACUCAAAGGAAUUGACGGGGAGCACCACAACGGGUGGAGCUUGCGGUUUAAUUGGAUUCAACGCCGGAAAUCUUACCGGGACCGACAGCAAUAUGAAGGCCAGGCUGAAGACUUUGCCGGAUUAGCUGAGAGGUGGUGCAUGGCCGUCGUCAGUUCGUACUGUGAAGCAUCCUGUUAAGUCAGGCAACGAGCGAGACCCACGCCCACAGUUGCCAGCGUACUCUCUGGAGUGACGGGUACACUGUGGGGACCGCCGCUGCUAAAGCGGAGGAAGGAAUGGGCAACGGUAGGUCAGUAUGCCCCGAAUAUCCCGGGCUACACGCGAGCUACAAUGGUUGGUACAAUGGGUAUCUACCCCGAAAGGGGACGGGAAUCUCCUAAAACCAAUCUUAGUUCGGAUUGAGGGCUGCAACUCGCCCUCAUAAAGCUGGAAUCCGUAGUAAUCGCGUUUCAACAGAACGCGGUGAAUACGUCCCUGCUCCUU